AGAGUUUGAUCCUGGCUCAGGAUGAACGCUAGCGGCAGGCUUAACACAUGCAAGUCGAGGGGCAGCAUAAUGGUAGCAAUACUAUUGAUGGCGACCGGCGGACGGGUGCGUAACGCGUAUGCAACCUACCCUUUACAGGGGGAUAACACUGAGAAAUCGGUACUAAUACCCCAUAAUAUUCCGGGAGGCAUCUUUCGGAGUUGAAAGCUUUGGUGGUAAAGGAUGGGCAUGCGUUGUAUUAGCUAGUUGGUAAGGUAACGGCUUACCAAGGCGACGAUACAUAGGGGGACUGAGAGGUUAACCCCCCACCAUUGGUACUGAGACACGGACCAAACUCCUACGGGAGGCAGCA
rnacentral:rRNA from 1 species